UAAACUAUUGUAUCUCUGAACAUUCUUACCACGUCAGUGUCAAGUACUAUUGGAAAAUGCAUGAGAAAAAUGAAACGCUCUCCCACUUUUUUAAAACUUGGUCAGAAGUUUAUUCUGUUAUAUAUUUCUGUUGCAUCAUCCAGGUGUAGGCGUACUCAUUACAUUUCUGAGACAUUGCCUUAUUAGUUAUUUGAUCGUCUGCAUUAAUAAUACAACAUCAGCUCAAUCCACUCCUACCAGCAUUAAACACUCUUCAUUGCCGUGUCUGUUGUACAUCCCAUUGUUAGAUAGUUUGAACAUGAAAAGUAAUUUGUCUCAUUUGUUCAUUCCAAUGUUAUACAUGUUGUUAGAAGAGGUUGAAAUAAAAUGUUUAUAUCACUCUUGGAAUGACUUCUUGUGUGUGUGUAUGUGUGUGUGUGUUUGCCCUAAC